rnacentral:misc_RNA from 1 species
GAUGAAGAACGUAGCGAAAUGCGAUACGUAAUGUGAAUUGCAGAAUUCAGUGAAUCAUCGAGUCUUUGAACGCACAUUGCGCCCCCUGGUAUUCCGGGGGGCAUGCCUGUCCGAGCGUCAUUGCUGCCCUCAAGCCCGGCUUGUGUGUUGGGUCUCGUCCCCCUUCCCGGGGGGACGGGCCCGAAAGGCAGCGGCGGCACCGCGUCCGGUCCUCGAGCGUAUGGGGCUUUGUCACCCGCUCUGUAGGCCCGGCCGGCGCUUGCCGAUCAACCAAAACUUUUUUCCAGGUUGACCUCGGAUCAGGUAGGGAUACCCGCUGAACUUAAGCAUAUCAUAAGCGGAGGA